UUUUUGUAUUGUUAUUAUUUUCAUUUCAAUUAUAUUAUUAUCAAAUUAUGUUUUCAUAUCGAGAUGGAUUGUCCGGCUCUACUAACGAUCGAUUGCUUCAUAUAUACGAGCACUUGACCUUUCUGAGAACUAUAGUUGGGGCAGCGCUUGUCUUUCAUGCUUAUAUCAUAAUCUUUGUUCGGCUGUUAUUGGACAAGAUAGAAGGAAGCUUAGUGGUCCACUCACAUUAUUGCAGGUUUGGGCAUGGUCUAGACUAUACAUGCUAGCUCCUCGAAUUAAAUCAAUUGAUCUUGACCCUCUGGUACUUCCUAAUGGUCUAGUACUACCGGCUGCUCCUUAUGGAGCUAAAUGGAGUCGUGGUAAACAUAAGUUUGCACUAAAAGAGUUCUCAAAACUCCUUAAAUUGACAUUCUAC